ensembl:lncRNA
GAGACGGUCAGGCCAUGGUGGAAGACACCGGCUGUUCACACCAGAACAGAGACGGUCAGGCCAUGGUGGAAGACACCGGCUGUUCACACCAGAACAGAGACGGUCAGGCCAUGGUGGAAGACACCGGCUGUUCACACCAGAACAGAAACGGUCAGGCCAUGGUGGAAGACACCGGCUGUUCACACCAGAACAGAGACGGUCAGGCCAUGGUGGAAGACACCGGCUGUUCACACCAGAACAGAGACGGCCAGGCCAUGGUGGAAGACACCGGCUGUUCACACCAGAACAGAGACGGUCAGGCCAUGGUGGAAGACACCGGCUGUUCACACCAGAACAGAGACGGUCAGGCCAUGGUGGAAGACACCGGCUGUUCACACCAGAACAGAGACGGUCAGGCCAUGGUGGAAGACACCGGCUGUUCACACCAGAACAGAGACGGUCAGGCAAUGGUGGAAGACACCGGCUGUUCACACCAGAACUGAGACGGUCAGGCCAUGGUGGAAGACACCGGCUGUUCACACCAGAACAGUAGAUCUCUAUUGAGAACAUGGUGGUAGCAAACAGUACCAUUAGACUACGAAAAAUCCAGAACCACAUAAUUGCAGACAACACAAUAUUCAAUAACAUUCAGCAGGUGGGCUUGUCUACAUUGGACCGUGUAUUACAGCACAACCGAAUCUGGAUGAAACAGGUGUACCGAGUGCCAUUUCAGCAAAACUCAGAUGGUUCAAGAACAGUGCUAUGAAAAUGUGCAAAGAGUCUUGUAGCUGGAUGCCGCUGCAAUUCAGAAUGUUUAUAGGUACAUUGAGGCUGGCUUCAACCUAGCCAAAAGAAGGGGAUGGAACAUUAUUGGCCACCGUGCCAUUGUGAAUGUCCCUGGACAGCGUGGAGGGAAUAUCACCAUGUGCGCAGCUGUUAGCCAGCGAGGCAUCCUCCAUCACCAUGCCAACCUUGGUCCCUACAACACCGUCCUUCUCAUCACAUUCCUGGACACACUACAUGGCUUCCUCAUUCCAGCUGAGCAGAGGGGUGGACCAGAGCAGCCCAGCAUGGCGAUGGAAGGUGUGUGAUCAUCAUCCCCUCGCACACAUGCCUUUUCUCCAGGCAAUGGAGGAUGCAUGUGGUGAAGUUGAUGUGGAGGCUUUCGGCGGCUGGAUCCGUC